GAUGAACGCUGGCGGCGUGCCUAAUACAUGCAAGUCGAGCGAACAGACGAGGAGCUUGCUCCUCUGACGUUAGCGGCGGACGGGUGAGUAACACGUGGAUAACCUACCUAUAAGACUGGGAUAACUUCGGGAAACCGGAGCUAAUACCGGAUAAUAUAUUGAACCGCAUGGUUCAAUAGUGAAAGACGGUUUUGCUGUCACUUAUAGAUGGAUCCGCGCCGCAUUAGCUAGUUGGUAAGGUAACGGCUUACCAAGGCAACGAUGCGUAGCCGACCUGAGAGGGUGAUCGGCCACACUGGAACUGAGACACGGUCCAGACUCCUACGGGAGGCAGCAGUAGGGAAUCUGCCGCAAUGGGCGAAAGCCUGACGGAGCAACGCCGCGUGAGUGAUGAAGGUCUGCGGAUCGUAAAACUCUGUUAGUAGGGAAGAACAAAUGUGUAAGUAACUAUGCACGUCUGGACGGUACCUAAUCAGAAAGCCACGGCUAACUACGU
rnacentral:rRNA from 1 species